UGUAGCUCAGUUGGUAGAGCGGAUGACUGUUAAUCAUUAGGUCGCAAGUUCGAAUCUUGCCG
rnacentral:tRNA from 1 species